rnacentral:rRNA from 1 species
GGAUGAACGCUGGCGGCGUGCCUAAUACAUGCAAGUCGAGCGAACGGACGAGAAGCUUGCUUUUCUGAUGUUAGCGGCGGACGGGUGAGUAACACGUGGAUACCUACCUAUAAGACUGGGAUAACUUCGGGAAACCGGAGCUAAUACCGGAUAAUAUUUUGAACCGCAUGGUUCAAAAGUGAAAGACGGUCUUGCUGUCACUUAUAGAUGGAUCCGCGCUGCAUUAGCUAGUUGGUAAGGUAACGGCUUACCAAGGCAACGAUGCAUAGCCGACCUGAGAGGGUGAUCGGCCACACUGGAACUGAGACACGGUCCAGACUCCUACGGGAGGCAGCAGUAGGGAAUCUUCCGCAAUGGGCGAAAGCCUGACGGAGCAACGCCGCGUGAGUGAUGAAGGUCUUCGGAUCGUAAAACUCUGUUAUUAGGGAAGAACAUAUGUGUAAGUAACUGUGCACAUCUUGACGGUACCUAAUCAGAAAGCCACGGCUAACUACGUG